rnacentral:rRNA from 1 species
AUUGAACGCUGGCGGCAGGCCUAACACAUGCAAGUCGAACGAGUGGCGGACGGGUGAGUAAUGUCUGGGAAACUGACUGAUGGAGGGGGAUAAAUACUGGAAACGGUAGCUAAUACCGCAUACCAUCAGAUGUGCCCAGAUGGGAUUAGCUAGUUGGUGGGGUCACGGCUCACCAAGGCGACGAUCCCUAGCUGGUAUGAGAGGAUGACCAGCAACACGGGGACUGCGACACGGGCCAGACUCCUACGGGAGGCAGCAGGGGGGAAUUUUGCACUUUGGGCGCAAUCCUGAUCCAGCCAUGCCGCGUGUAUGCAGAAGGCCUUCGUGUUGUAAAGUACUUUCAGCGGGGAGGCGUUACCCGAAGAAGAAGCACCGGCUAACUCCGUGCCAGCAGCCGCGGUAAUAC